UUUGGUAAAGACAGUUAGGCAAGAGCUAAGGACCAUUAGAUCUUUAGUAUAGGGGUAAAAUCUAUAUACUAAAAGUUAUACCGGGCGUGGUUUAUUUAGGGUGCUGAAUCUGUGAUAGCUUUAAGGGAAACUGGGAUUGGAUACCCCAUUAUUUCUAGUUGUAAAUUUAGUUUAAGCUUACCAGAGUACUACGAAUUAAAAGUUUAAAACUCAAAGGGCUUGGCGGUGUUUUAGACCUCUUAGGGGAACCUGUCUCGUAAUCGACAAUCCACGUUAGACCUAACCUUUUGUGGCAUGACAGCCUGUAUACCGUCGUCGUCAGGUAACUUCUUAAAAUAUAGUAGUUAGCCCGAGAACUUUAUUAGUUAAAACGUCAGAUCAAGGUGCAGCUAAUAAAAGGGUGAGGAUGGGUUACAAUUAUAGAUUUAUAAGUACGGAUAAAGAUUUGAAAUGGAGUGUUUGAAAGGAGGACUUAAAAGUAAUUUUGAUUAUAUAAGCAGAAUGAAUAUGGCUCUGAAACGUG
rnacentral:rRNA from 1 species